rnacentral:rRNA from 1 species
UACAGAGGGUGCAAGCGUUAAUCGGAAUUACUGGGCGUAAAGCGUGCGUAGUCGGUUAUCUAAGUCGGAUGUGAAAUCCCGAGGCUCAACCUCGGGUCUGCAGUCGAUACGGGCGGACUGGAGUUCGGCAGGGGAGACUGGAAUUCCUGGUGUAGCGGUGAAAUGCGCAGGUAUCAGGAGGAACACCGGUGGCGAAGGCGGGUCUCUGGGCAUCUCCUGACGCUGAGGCGCGAAAGCGUGGGGAGCAAACGGG